rnacentral:lncRNA from 1 species
UCCUCCGGUGGCUGGUGCGGCUCGCCCCUAGCCUAGGGGAAGCGGUGGCCACGCCCGGCCGUGCCCCAGCACUCGAGUGGUGGCCUGGGGGGCUGCGAAGGUGGAGGCGGGGCAAGAGAAAGGGCGGCGACCUGGGAGGCUGCAGAGGCGGAGACCAAGGUGGGGCAGGAGAAGGGGCAGCGGCCUAGGUGGGCGCGACCGCCGGUGACGACAGGGAGGCCGCCGUGGUCAGGGUGGGCAGCGACAAAGCGUGGCGGACGAG